rnacentral:misc_RNA from 1 species
GUUGGUGAACCAGCGGAGGGAUCAUUACGAGAGUGAAGACUCCCUAAACCAACUGUUUAUCUACCUGUCUUCGUUGCUUCGGCAGGCGGCCCCCGGGGGGGUUGUACCUGAAAAGGCGCCUGCCGAAGGCACCCAGAACUCUUUGCUGUCAGUUGUCAUCUGAGCUACAAAAAACAAAAUGAAUCAAAACUUUCAACAACGGAUCUCUUGGUUUGG